rnacentral:rRNA from 1 species
GAAUAUUGGACAAUGGGCGAAAGCCUGAUCCAGCAAUGCCGCGUGAGUGAUGAAGGCCUUAGGGUUGUAAAGCUCUUCUACCCGGGAUGAUAAUGACAGUACCGGGAGAAUAAGCCCCGGCUAACUCCGUGCCAGCAGCCGCGGUAGUACGGAGGGGGCUAGCGUUGUUCGGAAUUACUGGGCGUAAAGGGCUCGUAGGCGGCCAACUAAGUCGGAUGUGAAAUCCCCAGGCUCAACCUGGGAACUGCAUCCGAUACUGGAUGGCUUGAAUUCGGGAGAGGGAUGCAGAAUUCCAGGUGUAGCGGUGAAAUGCGUAGAUAUCUGGAGGAAUACCGGUGGCGAAGGCGGCAUCCUGGACCGACAUUGACGCUGAGGAGCGAAAGCUAGGGGAGCAAACGGG